CCUAUUAGUGGGGGACAACAUCUCGAAAGGGAUGCUAAUACCGCAUACGUCCUACGGGAGAAAGCAGGGGAUCUUCGGACCUUGCGCUAAUAGAUGAGCCUAAGUCGGAUUAGCUAGUUGGUGGGGUAAAGGCCUACCAAGGCGACGAUCUGUAGCGGGUCUGAGAGGAUGAUCCGCCACACUGGGACUGAGACACGGCCCAGACUCCUACGGGAGGCAGCAGUGGGGAAUAUUGGACAAUGGGGGGAACCCUGAUCCAGCCAUGCCGCGUGUGUGAAGAAGGCCUUAUGGUUGUAAAGCACUUUAAGCGAGGAGGAGGCUACUUUAGUUAAUACCUAGAGAUAGUAGGACGUUACUCGCAGAAUAAGCACCGGCUA
rnacentral:rRNA from 1 species